rnacentral:rRNA from 1 species
AGUGAACGCUGGCGGUAGGCCUAACACAUGCCAGUCGAACGGCAGCACAGUAAGAGCUUGCUCUUACGGGUGGCGAGUGGCGGACGGGUGAGGAAUACAUCGGAAUCUACUUUUUCGUGGGGGAUAACGUAGGGAAACUUACGCUAAUACCGCAUACGACCUACGGGUGAAAGCAGGGGAUCUUCGGACCUUGCGCGAUUGAAUGAGCCGCUGUCGGAUUAGCUAGUUGGCGGGGUAAAGGCCCACCAAGGCGACGAUCCGUAGCUGGUCUGAGAGGAUGAUCAGCCACACUGGAACUGAGACACGGUCCAGACUCCUACGGGAGGCAGCAGUGGGGAAUAUUGGACAAUGGGCGCAAGCCUGAUCCAGCCAUACCGCGUGGGUGAAGAAGGCCUUCGGGUUGUAAAGCCCUUUUGUUGGGAAAGAAAAGCAGCAGGUUAAUACCCCGCUGUUCUGACGGUACCCAAAGAAUAAGCACCGGCUAACUUCGUG